rnacentral:rRNA from 1 species
AGAGUUUGAUCAUGGCUCAGGAUGAACGCUGGCGGCAGGUUUGACACAUGCAAGUCGAACGAGAAGCCCGGGGCUUGCCCUGGGUGGAGAGUGGCGAACGGCUGAGUAACACGUAGGAACCUACCCUGAAGACUGGGAUAACGGAUCGAAAGAACCGCUAAUACCGGAUAUAUCCGCAAGGAGGAAAGCUCCGGCGCUUCAGGAGGGGCCUGCGGCGUAUUAGCUUGUUGGUGGGGUAAUGGCUCACCAAGGCUAUGAUACGUAGCUGGUCUGAGAGGAUGAUCAGCCAGACUGGGACUGAGACACGGCCCAGACUCCUACGGGAGGCUGCAGUUCAGAAUCUUGCACAAUGGGCGAAAGCCUGAUGCAGCCAUGCCGCGUGUGCGAGGAAGGCCCUCGGGUCGUAAAGCACUGUCAGGAGGGAAGAACAAUGACGGUACCUCCAAAGGAAGCCACGGCUAAUUACGUGCCAGCAGCCGCGGUAAUACGUAAGUGGCGAGCGUUAUCCGGAAUUACUGGGCGUAAAGCGUUCGUAGGCGGCGCAGCAAGUUGGAUUUUAAAGACCGGGGCUCAACUCCGGAAUCGGGUCCAAAACUGCAGUGCUAGAGCAAAUCANAGGGUAGUGGAAUUCCCGGUGUAGCGGUAAUAUGCGUAGAGAUCGGGAGGAACACCAGUGGCGAANGCGGCUACCUGGGGUUUUGCUGACGCUGAGGAACGAAAGCUAGGGGAGCGAACGGGAUUANAUACCCCGGUAGUCCUAGCUGUAAACNAUGGACACUAGGUGUAGGGANCUUCGACCCUCUCUGC